CAGCCGCCGCGGUAAUACGGAGGGUGCAAGCGUUAAUCGGAAUUACUGGGCGUAAAGCGCACGCAGGCGGUCUGUUAAGUCAGAUGUGAAAUCCCCGGGCUUAACCUGGGAACUGCAUUUGAAACUGGCAGGCUUGAGUCUUGUAGAGGGGGGUAGAAUUCCAGGUGUAGCGGUGAAAUGCGUAGAGAUCUGGAGGAAUACCGGUGGCGAAGGCGGCCCCCUGGACAAAGACUGACGCUCAGGUGCGAAAGCGUGGGGAGCAAACAGGAUUAGAUACCCCUGUAGUCCCUGUCUCUUAACA
rnacentral:rRNA from 1 species